UUUUUUAAAUGGAAUGCAGUAAUAGUGGUGUUUUUUUUUUUUUAAUUUAAAUAUUUAGGCAUCCCUAACAGAGCUACAGCUCUUUAAAUAGCUGCUGGGUAUCUCAUUGUAUAGAUAGAAAGGCAUUUCAUCACCCCCCUCUCAUUAUUGAACACUAGAGGCGCCGACUGCUGCGGCCAUAAGCCAAACUAAGCUACACCCGCCUGCGUCUACCAGUUGUCCCGUGAGCACAUCCGUGGUCCCGAACUUCCUGGAAACAGUUUCAGACCCUACCCCUACCCCCCCACCCCGUCUUCCUGGAAGAACCUCUAGACUAAAGUACUGCUGCUUCCGGGGAGAUCACACAGCCCCAAGCUGAGCACCGAGACCAGGGAGCCCCACGAUCGACUGGCGAAGGUGAUCAGCUCUGUGAGGGCCUGGCCCCUCCCCUCCCAGGGGUGGGGUGUGACAUGAGCUACUUCACCUCCCUCUGUCAUUGUCAUUGGCUAUGAAACAGGCUGAUGAUACCAUGUGGGACAGAGAUGAGAGUCCAUACUACUACUGCUACUACCGAAGUGAGAAGUAAAAGUGCCAGACCCUCAGGCCUCGGCGAGCAGUAAAGACCCUCGUUCUCGCUCCCGCUGUCUGCAGAGCUUGAGGUGACAAAUCCAAACCCCACCUUGGAGCACACGGUGGCCUGGCCAUGCCCGGCCGCGCGCCAGGUCUCCCGGCUCCAGCCUCUGGGAAAUGCACUUUUUUCUUCACGCUACUAAGAGCCCUCCGAAGCGGACUGAGAAUGCAGGUUUUCUCAAAGUGUUGGUUUUUCCUACCCAGCUACGCGUCCUGCUCAUCUUAGGAGAAGCCCCUGGGCCUGGACUGCUGUGGCGGCACCAGGGAGGAAGCCCCAGCCCACGAUGCCGGCGUCCGAGAUCUGAGUGCCCUUGCUCUGCUGGGAGGUGGCAGGUGACCGUCCUGCUUGGGCCCUGCCACCCACGUGCGAGACCAGGACUGAGCUCCUGGCCCAGCCCUGACCAUCGCGGCCGUUUGGGGAGUGAACCAGCAGGUGGAAGCGUAAGACCCAUGGACCAAGACGCACGUUGUCCUCUGGUGGGAACCUGCCAGGUCAUCCAGCUGAAGACAGGAGUCCGGAUGUGCCCAAGAGGAGGGCACGACCUCAGCCUGGGGGUGGACAGGCCCCGGAAGCACGGUGGCUCUGCAGGCUUGUGCUCCUUAGAGCAGGUGGCUGGGUUCUGGCUCCCACUGAGCUCCUGCCCACUGCAAGCCCCCUCCCCACUCGGGGUGGCUCUUGGGGUGCAGUACGCCCUCACUGUGUCCCAGUGCCCCGCAGGCCCUGGCACCUGCUUGCAGCCCCAGCACCACACCCGGUGCUGUCUCAAAGAUGGCUCUGGCAGGGGUACCAUCAAGAGCUCCUUGCUUUUUUUGUCUAAGGUUAUUGGGUUGUUUGAUAAGGCAGAGUAAUAUGGAGGGAGAGACAGAGCUUCCAUAUUCUGGUUCACUCCCCAAAUGGCUGCAACAGCCAGGUCGGGGCCAGUCCAAAGCCAGAAACCAGAGACUUGGUCCUGGUCUCCCACAUGGGGGGCAGGGGCUCAGGUACUUGGGCCACCUUCCGCUGCCUUCCCAGGGGCAACAGCAAGAAGCUGGACUGGAAGAGGGGAACCUGCACUCAACCCACUGUGCCAUGCUGCCAGGCCCAAGAGCUCACUCCAUUUGAGGCCAAUAAAAUAAUUCCCUAAACUGCACAACCACUCCAAAUAAAGACACUGAACACAGUCCGGAGCGGCAGAUGGCACAGCCGCUGAGGUCGCAGCUGGCAAUGACCAUAGCCGAGUGCCCGACUCCGGUCCCGGCCCCUCUGCUUCUGAGCCAGCUCCCUACGGAGGCACCUGGGAUCACCCCAGCACUUAGGUCCCCGUCCUCCGUGUGGAAGGCCUGAAGGGCAGAGGUCCAGGCUCCCCAGGGCAGGGGACAGGGAAAGUAGGGGCACCUCAGCUCCAAGGACUCGGGAUGGCAUGGGAGGAUCCCUGGCUGUCACAGGCUUGGAGCCCCGCCCAGAGUGCACAUGGUGGCUUUGCUGCCGAGAAGGGGCUCGCACUGUCUCCAGACUGAGGCGAUGUGCCCAUAAUCAGAACCCACUGUGCCUCCGAGAUGGAAUCGGCCGCCUGUCUUCGGCCCCAGCCUCCCCAGCCCAGCACUCCUGUCACCGGGCUACUGUCCGCAGGGCACAGAUCACCCAGGCAGGAAAGCAAGAAACAUCGGAGUUCAAUGGCACUAUAGGGGCCGGUGCUGUGGCGUAAAGGUAAACAUCGCUGCCUGCAGCUCCAGCAUCCCAGAUGGGCACUGGUUCAAGUCCCGGCUGCUCUACUUCCAAUCUACCUCCCUGCUACUGUGCCUGCGAAAGCAGUGGAGUAUGGUCCAAGUGUUUGGGCCCCUGCACCCAUGUGGGAGACCCAGAUGAUGCCCCUGGCUUCAGAUCUGCCCAGCUCCAGCAGUUGGGGCAUUCGGGGAAUGAACUUAGAUGUGAAUGCAAGAUGUCGAUGCCUCUGUGUGUGUGUGUGUGUGUGUGUGUGUGUGUGUCUCACACUCACACAGCCUUUCAAAUCUUUUUUUUUUUUAUAUUUAUUUGAAAGAGUUAGAGAGGAGAGGCAGAGAGGGGUGUCUUCCAUCUGCUGGUUCACUCCCCAGUUGGCUGCAACGGCCGGAGCUGCACCUAUCUGAAGCCAGGAGCUUCUUCUAGAUCUCCCACAUGGGUGCAGGGGCCCAAGGACUUGGGCCAUCUUCCACUGCUUUCCCAGGCCAUAGCAGAGAGCUGGAUCAGAAGUGGAGCAGCUGGGACUAGAACCGGAGCCCAUAUGGGAUGCCGGCACUUCAGGCCAGGGCGUUAACCCACUUCGCCACAGUGAUGGCCCCAUAAUUUUUUUUUAUUUGACAGAGUGAGAGAAAGUUCUUCCUUCCAUUGGUUCACCCCCCAAAUGGCCGCCACGGCCGGAGCUACGCCGAUCUGAAGCCAGAAGCCAGGUGCUUCUCCUGGUCUCCCUUGUGGGUGCAGGGCCCAAGUACUUGGGCCAUCCUCCACUGCCUUUCCGGGCCACAGCAGAGAGCUGGACUGGAAGAGGAGCAACCGGGACAGAACCGGCGCCCAUAUGUGCUGCAGGCGGAGAAUUAACCAAGUGAGCCACAGCACUGGCCCAAAUCUUUUUUUAAAAAGGUUUGUUUAUUUAUUUGAAAGUCAGAGUUAGGAGAGGGAGAGGUCUUGUAUCUGCUGGUUCACUCCCCAGAUGAUGGCUAUGGCCAGCGCUGGGCCCAUCCAAAAGCUAGGAGCUACCUUCAUGUCUUCUCAUGUGGGCCAUCUUCUGCUUUCCCAGGCCAUAGCAGAGAGCUGGAUUGGAACUGGAGCAGCCGGGACUCGAACCAGCACCGAUAUGGAUGGCAAUGGCUUUACCCGCUUGCACCAGCCCCCAAGAUAUAUUCUUUUUGUCAGCACAUGGAACAUUCUCUGGGAUAGGCCAUAAAACAAGCCUCAACAAACUUCUGUUUUUUUUUUUUUUUUUAAGAUUUAUUUAUUUACAAGUUAGAGCUAUACAUAGAAAGGAAGAGAGAAAGAGAUGGGUCUUCCAUCGGGUCACUCCCUAGUUGGCCUCAAUGGCCAGACCUGUGCUGAUCUGGAGCCAGGAGCCUCUUCCCAUGUGAGUCUCCCAUGUGGGUGCAAGGGCCCAAGGACUUGGACCAUCCUUCACUGCCUUUCCAAGCCAGAGCAGAGAGCUGGAUUGGAACUGGAGCGGCCAGGACUUGAACCGGCACCAAUAUGGGAUGCCGGUACUGACAGAUGGUGGCCUUACCCACUAUGCUGCAGCACUGGCCCUUCAACAAACUUCUAAAAAAUUAUAUUGUCAGGGCUGGCGCUGUGGUGUAGUGAGUGAAGCUGCCACCUGCAGUUACAGCAUCCCAUGGGGGCGCCGGUUCAAAUUCCAGCUGCUCCACUUCUGAUCCAGCUCUCUGCUAUGGCCUGGGAAGACAGUGGAAGAUGGCCUAGACACUAGAUCCUACAUGUACAUGGGUGACCCGGAAGCAGCUCCUGGCUUCCAUAUGGUGCAAUUCUGGCCAGUGCAGUCAUUCUGCCUUUCAAAUAAAUAAAGAUACAUUGUAUUGUACCUCUUUUCUGACCACAAUGGUGUAAAACUAGAAAUUAUACCAACAGGGGUGGACGGUUAGCCUAGCAGUUAGGACACUGAAACGCCUGAUGCCAGUGUCCCCCAAAUGCAGAUGGGUCAAGUGCUGGGGUUCCUGCCUCCCACAGGGUGAUCUGGAUCAGAAUUGUUUCCAUUCUUGUUCAUUUCAAAGAAUUUUCCUUUUGAUUUCAUCACCGAUUCAUUCAGAAGCAUAUUUUUCAAACCUCUGUGCUUAUAUAAUUUUUAAAAAUUAUUUAUGGCCAGCGCUGUGGUUCAGUGGAUUAAAGCCCCAGCAUCCCAUAUGGGUGCUGGUUCAAGACCCGGCUGCUCCACUUCCCAUCCAGCUCUCUGCUGUGGCCUGGGAAAGCAGAAGAUGGCCCAAGUCCUUGGGCCCCUGCACCCACAUGAGAAGACGUGAAGGAAGCACCUGGCUUCAGAUCAGCUCAGCUCUGGCCAUUGUGGCCAACUGGGGAGUGAACCAUCGGAUGGAGCACUUCUCUCUCUCUGCCUCUCCUGCUCUCUGUGUAGCUCUUUCAAAUAAAUAAAUAAAUCUUUAAAAAAUAAAGGGCAAGAGGGCAAUAGAAUACAGACCAGAGAUAAAAUAAAUGAAAUAGACUUCUUAAGCAAUUCAAAAGAUCAGUGAAGAACUGGGUUCUGAAAAUAUAAAACUGAUAAACCUUUAGGUAGGCUAGUAAGAAAAAAAGAUGAGAUAUUACAACCAGUACCACAGAAUACCAAGGAUUGCUGGGUACCCUUGCAAGCAACUAUAUGCCAACAAAUUGGAAAGGCCUUCUCUAAGCCCAUGUAACAUGUGAACAAUGAAGACACAGAACUUUAACAGACCAAUAGCAAAUAAUGAGAUUGAACCAGUAAUCAAAAACCUCACCAAAAAAAUUCCAGGAACAGACAGCUUCACUGCUGAAUUCUAGCAAACAUUUAAGAUUUAUUUGAGAGGCAGAGUCAGAGGGAGAGACAAAGAUCUUCCAUCUGCUGGUUUACUCCCACAAAUAGCUACAAUGGCCAGAGCUGGGCUGAUUCAAAGCCAGGAGCUUCUUCCAGGUCUCCCAUGCAGGUGCAGGGGCCCAAGGACUUGGGCCAUCUUCCAUUGCUUUCCCAGGCCAUAGCAGAGAGCUGGAUUGGAAGUGGAGAAGCUGGGACUUGAACUGGCGCCCAUAUGGGAUGCCGGCACUGCAGGCAGUGGCUUUACCCUCUGCCACAGCUCCAACCCACAAAGCCUUUCUUUUAUGUAGGAGUACUAUUUUCUUUAGCUUAGCUGCUAAGAUGCCCUUGUCCCUCGUCAGAGUACCUGGCUUCAACUCCAGACCUUGUCUCCUGAUUCCAGCUUUCUGCUAAUGCAGACCCUGGACAGACCGUGGGACACAGCAGUGACAACUCAAGUAACUGGGCUCCUGCCACCCAGAAGGGAGACCUGGAUUGAGUUCCCAGCUUUGGCCCCAGCCCACUGUAGUCAUUGUGGGCAUUUGGGAAGUGAACCUAGAAGAUGAAGGCGCUCUCUCCUCAUUUGUGUGUCUCAAACAGGUAAUUUUUAAAAAGAAUGUCAUACUCAAGGUUGUAAGUUUCAGCAAGAGUUAAAUGACAUAGGGCUGUUCUAAUUGGACAGUUUAGGUAAAGGAUUUUAUUUUCUAUUAGGUUUACUAUUUUUUUAAUUUAUUUGAAAGAGUUGGGGCUGGAGCUGUGGAGUAGGGUAAAGCUGCCACUUGCAGCACUAGCAUCCCAUAUGGGUGCUGGUUUUAGUCCCGGCUGCUCCACUUCUCAUCUAGCUCUCUGCUAUGGCCUGGGAAAGUAGUAGAAGAUGGCCCAAGUCCUUGGGACCCUGCUAUCCAUGUGGGAGGCCUGGAAGAAGCUCCUGGGCUUCGGAUCGGCACGGCUCUGGCCGUUGUGGCCAUCUGGGGAGUGAACGAGCAGAUGGAAGAUCUACCUUUCUCUGUUCUUUCUACCUCUGUUUCUCUCUGUGUAAUUCUCAUUUUCAAAUAAAUAACUAUUUAAAAAAAGUUACAGAGAUGGGUAGAGCCACCUGCUGGUUCACUCCCCAGAUGGCCACAAUGGCCAGAGCUGUGCCCAUCUGAAGCCAGGAGCUAGAACUUCUUCCAGGUCUCCCACAUGGGUGUUGGGGCCCAAGGACUUGGGACCAUCUUCCAUUGCUUCCCCAGGUCAUAGCAGGGAGCUGGAUGGGAAGUGCAGUAGCCGGGACUCAAACCGGCACCCAUAUGGGUGCACUGCAGGCUUGGGCUUUAACCCACUAUGCCACAACGCUGGCCCCUACUUAUUUCUUUUCAAAACCACAACUUUUACUGAGUGACAAAGGACUGCAUGCCACUGCACUUUGAGACACAUUGAGUCAUUUGUUCACCUACUGUGUGCCAGCCAGUGUUCAAUGAAAAAAGCAGUCAAAAAAUUCCUCUGUCCUCAAGGAUUUUACAUCAUUGUGAUGGGCCAGGGAGUUUGGAUGAUAAACACUUAAGAAUUAUCAUGGGGCCGGCACUGUGGCAUAGUAGGUAAAGCUGCCACCUGCAGUGCCGGCAUCCCACAUGGGCGCCAGUUCAAGUCCCGGCUGCUCCACUUCCGAUCCAGCUCUCUGCUAUGGCCUGUGAAAGCAGUAGAAGGUGGCCAAAGUUCUUGGGCCCCUGUACCCACGUGGGAGACCCGGAGGAGGCUCCUGGCUUCAGAUUGGCACAGCUCCAGCUGUUGUGGCCAAUUGGGGAGUGAACCAGCGGAGGGCAAACUUCUCUAUCUGCCUCUGCCUCUCUGUAACUCUGCUUCAAGUAAAUCUUAAAUGAAUGUAUGUCUUUUUUUUUUUUUUAACAGAGCAUGCACAGGUGCACACACUUGCAUCCACUGCUUCACUUUCCAAAUGGCUACAACAGCCAUGGCUGGGCCGGGCGGAAGCCAGGGGUAGAAACUCCAUCCAGGUCUCCCAUGUGAGUGGCAGGGGCCCAUGUUCUUGAACCUUCUGCUGCUGCCUUCCCAGCUGUGUUAGCAGGGAGGGGGAUCAGAAGCAGGACAGCAGGGACUCCCACCGGCACUCACAGGAUGCUGGAGUGAUGAGUAGGGGCUUAACCCACUCCAACACAAGCCAGCCCCCCUACCAAACUUUAGAAGAACUAACAAGUUUUUCUCAAACCAUCCCAAUGAAUUAAACUGGAAGGAACUCUUCCAAAUUCAUUCGUUCUGUGAAGCCAUCAUGACCUUGAUUCCAAACCCAGACAGGAACACGACAGCAGCAAACAGAAACCACAGACCAAUAAACCUGAAGACACAAAUUCUCAGAAUACUUGCAGGUUGAAUCCAACUGUAAGUAAUCAAAAAGAUCAUCCAUUAGGACCAGGCCUAGCUUACCCUGGAGACGCAGGUGUGGUUCAACAUACACAAAUUGAUAAAUGAAUGUGGUGUAGCAGGUAAAUCUGCCGCCUGUGGUGCCGGCAUCCCAUAUGGACGCUGAUUUGAGUCCUAGCUGCUCCACUUCCAAUCCAGCUCUCUGCUGUGGCCUGGGAAAGCAGCAGCAGAUGGCCCAAGUCCUUGGGUGCCUAUACCCAAGUGGGAGAUGUGGAGGAAGCUCCUGGCUUCAGAUCGGUGCAGUUCCGGCCGUUUCGGCCAAUUGGGGAGUGAACCAGCAGAUGGAAGACACCUCUCUGUGUGUAACUCUAACUUUCAAGUUAAUAAAUCUUAAAAAAAAAAAAAAAAAAAGAA